UCCUCUAGUCUGAUCUAGGAAGCUAAGCAGAGUCAGGCCUGGUUAGUACUUGGAUGGGAGACCGCCUGGGAAGGCCGGGUGCUGCAGGCU
rnacentral:rRNA from 1 species